CCGUGUAAACACAUGGCUCAGAAGAUGUUGCAAAACAUUUCCCUGCCUUUGCUAGCUGAUCUGCUAUACGGUUUUGUUCUUUGUACGCAUGUUGGACGAUUGAUUGUUAAGCUAGUCGAGGAGGUACCUGGAGUCGUUCAACAUAUUGGCAAAUGAAAUAUUAUUAGUUUGUAACAUUGCAACAAUUUCUUUUGCAUCCACCUCGACUUCUAGUGGCUGCAAAUUAUAUUGAAAUACUAAUUUAAGUCAUGUAAUUAGAGCAUAUAAUUCUGCUGACAGUGACGAUCCUUUUUGUGUAGCUCCUGCAUACCCUAGGAUCCAUUCACCAUUUGAGUUUUGAAUCGUUCUUCCAAUACCAUCUGCUGUUGUAGCAUUAGCCCCAUUUGUAUUUAACUUGUAGUGAUUUUGUUUAGAAGGAUUCCGUCGAAGAUUAGCUGGAUGUUUUUUCUUAGGUUUAUGAUGGUAAGCAGUCAAGCAUGCAAAUUCAGUUGCUUGGUAGGUUGUGUCACACCUCCUAUUUAAUACACCCCGAAAAGGGUAUGUAUAAGGGAGUUUUUCCAAUUAAAUGACAAUCGAAAUGAGAUUUAUUUAUUAAAAGAUUCAGAGUCGCCACUUGGGAUGAUUUGUGGUGUCCCAAGUCACCGGUUCAAAUCCCGAUUCGAGGAAAAGAUUGACUUUGUAUUACUGUCCGCGAACACAGAAAUCCGAGUACUGAAUUUUGUUAACCUGGGAGAAGGUAUUAGGCAUUCCCGAGUUCCGUGGUUCUAGCACGGUCGCUCAACUGUUAUAUUCAGCUUAAUUAUCUGAUUUUUAACGAUUAUGAACCUAUGUGCAAAUUUUAACUUUUAACUGCUUUUAUUUAAUUUUUAAAGAAGAUUGAACGUCGUUUAAAACAUGUCUUUGGAUCGCGCCACAUGAAAUGCACCCGCAAUCCUAAACACAUUUUAGUCAAUGUUUUAAGAUUUUGAUUUGGGUCGCAUGAAAUGCACACCCGAAUUUAGGAAGGUAAUGUUAUUUAACGACGCGCCUAAAGCAGCUACGCGUUUUUAACUUUGCGAGGGCCAUGAAAAUUCGACUAAAUGACAUGUCUCGAUUUCUAAUUUCAAAGGAUUUUAUUAUUCGAAGUUGUUAUAAUCGGGCUACAUGAAAUGUACCCCCUGAAUUGAGAUUCACAUAUCGUUACCAUUCCACGAGAACAGUACCCAUAGCCACUAACCAAUCACGCCACUAUUAAACCCAACUUCUAUUAAUUCAAAUUAAAAAAAAAACAAGGCUUAACACUAGUAUUCACUGAUUAUUAAUUCAACUUUCAGAAAAAACAAAAUCAAUAAUCAAUAAAUUAAUGCCACAUGCUCAUAAUUCAAAGGCAAACUAUACGUUUCAUAAAAUCAAUAAAGCUAAAUUCAACCACAUUAUAACAAGAGCAUUAUUGCAAUUGAAAACAUCCAUGAGUUGAUAAACUUUGACAUGGAAACAAAAAGCAGCAGAUAUCUUACGAAGAAAGAAACAGAACCUCAGACGGAAGCCAAUGAAUGACGACAGACUCGAACUCGCCGGAACUCAAACUGAACCUCGCCGGCGACCACAAACAGACCUCAAACGUUGUCGGGGAAACCGAUUUUGCUGACGGACUCGAACUUAAAGAGUCGUUCAGCGGCUGAGGAAAUGGUUUCAGAUCGAGCUCCCAGCGGAAGAGGCUUCUUGUUUUAGUGAACAAGCAGGCUCCAAUAACUCCAUGGAAAUGGUUGGGAUCGAGCUUUUGGUUCUAGGUCUCUGUUAAGAAGCAGCCAUCGGUUUUGGGUCUUGUGUUUAGAACCUGAAGACGAAAGCAGAACGGGAGGUCAUUUUUGGUCGUCAAUGGCGUUGCUUGGUCUCUAGGGUUCGUCCAUUUUGUUCAAGGAAGACGAAGAGCUUCAGCUGUUGCUGGUUGAAGAAUACGACUUGUGAAGGGGUCAUGUGGUUGAAGAAAAGGAGCAGAACUGAUGGGGCGGGGUGUGUUCGAGAAGAUGAAGACUGGGAGAUGACGCAGCAGCGACUGGAAUGGCCGUUGGGUUCAGCUGCUUGGUGUCGUUCAGGUCUGGUUGGGAUGCAGAGAAGAUGGCAGACGGCUGUUUGGCGUAGCUAUUAUUCGUUGAUAGAGGUCCCUUCCUCUUUCGGUGAAGAUGGUUGAUGCUCGGGUGGCUGAAGGUCGUGUAUGGCUGCUGCUGCGUGUAAGUGAAGAAGAAGACCUAGGGGUCUGGCCGUUUGGUGUUCAGGCUGCUAUGGAGAUGGAGUUCUUGCUUAGGGUUUUUGUGUUAAGCCCUCAUGAAGAAGAAGGAUCGAGGGUCGUUUGGGGUGGGGGUCUGCGGAGAAGAUGAGGUUAGGGGGGUGGGUCUCGUGAAAACGGAGGAUUCCUUUUGGGCGCAGCUUUCUGCUUUUCCCUUCAGCGUUAUCUCUUUUUUUUUUUUGAUUUUUUUAAGCAUUAAUUUAUAGGUAAAGUCUAGGUUUAGGUGUAUUUUUGUGUAUUAGGUCCUUAGGGUCUUUUUGUUUAUUUUUAUUCCAAAGAAGAGUCUAGAAGGGUCCCUAGGUUUAAUGUAUUAAUCCGACUUUGGCCAAGAACUGGGUUCUAAAACUCUUAAAAUUAUGAUCCAACACCUUAAUCGACUUCUUUUAAAAUAAGAUAAAAA
rnacentral:lncRNA from 1 species